UACGUAGGGUGCAAGCGUUGUCCGGAAUUAUUGGGCGUAAAGGGCUCGUAGGCGGUCUGUCGCGUCGGGAGUGAAAACUCGGGGCUUAACCCCGAGCCUGCUUCCGAUACGGGCAGACUAGAGGUAUGCAGGGGAGAAUGGAAUUCCUGGUGUAGCGGUGAAAUGCGCAGAUAUCAGGAGGAACACCGGUGGCGAAGGCGGUUCUCUGGGCAUUACCUGACGCUGAGGAGCGAAAGUGUGGGGAGCGAACAGG
rnacentral:rRNA from 1 species